rnacentral:rRNA from 1 species
UACGGAGGGGACUAGCGUUGUUCGGAAUUACUGGGCGUAAAGCGCACGUAGGCGGAUUUGUAAGUCAGGGGUGAAAUCCCGAGGCUCAACCUCGGAACUGCCUUUGAUACUGCAAAUCUCGAGUCCGGAAGAGGUGAGUGGAAUUCCUAGUGUAGAGGUGAAAUUCGUAGAUAUUAGGAAGAACACCAGUGGCGAAGGCGACUCACUGGUCCGGUACUGACGCUGAGGUGCGAAAGCGUGGGGAGCAAACAGG